rnacentral:sRNA from 1 species
GUGUGUGUGAAGCGAACGUCCUCCUUUAAUUCAAUUCAAUUCGAUUCGAUUCAAUUCACGUUGAAAACGCAACGCAAAUCCGUUGAAAAUUCAAAUGCUACGCUCACAUUUGGGUAGCUGCUGCCGUUGUCAGCCGCUGAGAACUAAAACAAAGCAAAUAACAUCAAUAAUAACAACAACAACAAACAAACAUCAGCGACAUCAGCAACAGCGGCGACAAAUAACAACAGUGAAGAGUUAAAAAUAUCAAAAUAAUGAGCAGAACAGAACUGAAACAGCUGAAAAUAAUAGUAAUGCAAGAGGGCCAUCAGCGUCAUCAAUAAAAACUGAGCGAGCAAAUCAAUCAAAUUUGAGCUAGAAAGUGUUGCAAAAGUGAACAAAUUUGGUGGAAUAAAGCAACCAAACAACAAAUAAUGGAAUAUUAACAAAGUUACGAAAGUGUACUUCUGGUGCAGGUGCGUGCGAGGUCGGAAAUCACAUCAAAGAGAGAGGAGAACGUUGAUCAGUCGCCGACGUAAAAGCCAAGGGAGAGGGUUCUCUUCUUGAGAGAGAGCGAGAGAGAGUGAGCGAGAGGAGGGGUGGAACGAGA